rnacentral:rRNA from 1 species
AUAAGAGUUAAUUUUAUAUAUAUUGUUUAUUAUUUCAUAAUUAUCAAUAAUAUUAAUUUAGUGGUGAAAUGUUAUUCGUUUAUAAUUGUAUCUAGUUUUUUGGGAAAUGAAUUUAAUUCUAUAUUUUUUUAUAUUUGUAUAUAUUGUUUAUAUUUAUUUAUUAAAAUAUAAUAUUGUGGGGGAUAAGCUUUAUAGUAAAAUUUUAUAAUUGUGAUUUAUUUAUAUUUUUUUUUGGUUUUAUAGUAAUUAUAAAUUUAUAUUGUGUUAAAACUUUAAUUUUAUUUUUUUUUGAUUUUAUUUAAUUUAAAUUUUUUACUGGGAUUAUAAAAUUUAUUUUUUAUUUUUUGUAAUAAUGAUGUAAUUAGUAUAUUUAUUAUUUAUAUUAUAAUUUAUUUGUAUAAUUUUUUUUGAGGAAUUUGGCAAAUUUUAUUUUCGCCUGUUUAACAAAAACAUCUUUUCUUGUUUAUUAUAUGAAGUAUAAUCUGCCCACUGAUAAUUUUGAAGGGCCGCGGUAUAUUGACCGUGCAAAGGUAGCAUAAUCAUUAGUCUUUUAAUUGUGGACUGGAAUGAAUGAUUUGACGAGAAAUAUUCUAUCUUUAUUAAAUGUAUUGAAUUUAAAUUCUUAGUUAAAAUGCUUAGAUUAAUUUAUGGGACGAGAAGACCCUAUAGAAUUUUAUAUAUUUAUUGGGCAGUUAUGUUUGUUUAGUGUGUAUUUAUUUAUUUAUUUAAUUGGGGUGAUUGGAAAAUAAAAUUAACUUUUUUUUUUGUUUAACAUUGAUUUAUGGGAUUUUGAUCCAUUAUUUUUGAUUAAAAGAUUAAAUUACCUUAGGGAUAACAGCGUAAUCUUUUUUGAGAGUUCUUAUCGAUAAAGGGGUUUGCGACCUCGAUGUUGGAUUAAGAAUAUAUUUGGGUGUAGAUGUUCAAUAGUUAGGUCUGUUCGACCUUUAAAUUCUUACAUGAUCUGAGUUCAAACCGGUGUGAGCCAGGUUGGUUUCUAUCUUUAAAGUUUUUAAUAUUUUAGUACGAGAGGACCAGGUAUU